AGGAAGAAUACUUCUCACCGUUUCAGGAAUUAAGAAUCAGAUGUAUGCGGAUGGGUUCUUGCAGAACGGGAAUGACAGACUUGGACUCGCCUGGGAUAUACGUAAGGACUCUCAAAACCCCUAGCAAGCACAAAUGCCCUGUCUGCGACAGCCAGUACUUGGUGUGUGGGCUUUUUAAGGCACCGUUACGUACAGAAAGAAUUCACAAGAGCACAACAGAAUUCAAUCAGCCUGCCGUCCAGGGAUGGAUGAGGCUGGAACGUUUCAACCUCGGGUGCUUGGAAGGUCGAACACUGGUCCCUUACCGAUAUCCAAUCUCGUUUUCUUCGUGGACAUGAGUUACAUCGACAGGCUAGAGGCGUGUUCCUUAUAGAUAUACAUGUUUGAAGGACCAAUUAAAUGUCA